rnacentral:rRNA from 1 species
AGGAACGAACGCUGGCGGCAUGCCUAACACAUGCAAGUCGAACGAGACCUUCGGGUCUAGUGGCGCACGGGUGCGUAACGCGUGGGAAUCUGCCCUUGGGUUCGGAAUAACAGCGAGAAAUUGCUGCUAAUACCGGAUGAUGACGUAAGUCCAAAGAUUUAUCGCCCAAGGAUGAGCCCGCGUAGGAUUAGCUUGUUGGUGAGGUAAGAGCUCACCAAGGCGACGAUCCUUAGCUGGUCUGAGAGGAUGAUCAGCCAGACUGGAACUGAGACACGGUCCAGACUCCGUACGGAGGCAGCAGUAAGGAAUCUUCACAAUGGGGGCAACCCUGAUGGAGCAACGCCGCGUGAAGGAUGAAGGCCUUAGGUCGUAAACUUCUUUUGUUAGCGAAGAAUAUGACGGUAACUAACGAAUAAGGUCGGACUAACUACGUAGCCAGCAGCCGC